GACGAACGCUGGCGGCGUGCUUAACACAUGCAAGUCGUACGGUAAGGCCCUUUCGGGGGUACACGAGUGGCGAACGGGUGAGUAACACGUGAGUAACCUGCCCACAACUUUGGGAUAACGCUAGGAAACUGGUGCUAAUACUGGAUAUGUGCUCCUGUUGCAUGGUGGGGGUUGGAAAGCUCCGGCGGUUGUGGAUGGACUCGCGGCCUAUCAGCUUGUUGGUGGGGUAGUGGCCUACCAAGGCGGCGACGGGUAGCCGGCCUGAGAGGGUGACCGGCCACAGUGGGACUGAGAUACGGCCCAGACUCCUACGGGAGGCAGCAGUGGGGAAUAUUGCACAAUGGGCGCAAGCCUGAUGCAGCAACGCCGCGUGCGGGAUGACGGCCUUCGGGUUGUAAACCGCUUUCAGCAGGGACGAAGCUUUUUGUGACGGUACCUGCAGAAGAAGCACCGGCUAACUACGUG
rnacentral:rRNA from 1 species